rnacentral:misc_RNA from 1 species
GUAUUGAUCGCGUAUCACCGCAAAAAGAAAAUACAUUCUACACUGCUUUAAGGUUUGUGUGAAAACGUGAGCCCCCGAAAGGGGACCCACGCGGUGGUGCACAUAGGGGUGAGAUGGAUGUUUGAGAACGCUCGGGCGUGCACGACGAAAAAGUCAGCGACAGCCCUCGCGCCUCGGUUUUACGAUAAUGAUCCUUCCGCAGGUUCACCUACGGAAA